GGAGGGGUGCCAGAGCGGUUGAAUGGGACAGUCUCGAAAACUGUUGAUCUGCGUGAGCGGAUCCGUGGGUUCGAAUCCCACCCCCUCCG
rnacentral:tRNA from 1 species